rnacentral:rRNA from 1 species
ACGUAGGGGACAAGCGUUAUUCGGAAUUACUGGGCGUAAAGGGCAUGUAGGCGGCUUUGUAAGCCUGGCGUGAAAGUCCACAGCUCAACUGUGGGAUUGCGUCGGGAACUGCAGGGCUUGAGUCAUGGAGAGGAAGGUAGAAUUCCUGGUGUAGGGGUGAAAUCUGUAGAGAUCAGGAAGAAUACCAGUGGCGAAGGCGACCUUCUGGCCAAUGACUGACGCUGAGGUGCGAAAGUGUGGGGAUCAAACAG